AUGCCUGUGCACUCUGCCUGCAGACUGAGCGGCUUGGGACUGUCCCAGUCCGAUCACACUGAGAGGGCUCUAUCAACACGGAAAGAUAUGGCUCAUCCAUCUCUGUGCUCCAUGGCCAUCAGAAAACUUUGUUUUCCCCAGCUUUAUCUCAAAGGCUGUUGGCAGCCAACAGGUUUCAUACCUGUGUACUCCAACUGUAAUAUGCUGGCCAUCAACCCUGCAUGCCUCAGCCCCAGGACCAGCAAACAGGAGAGCACAGAGCUGCUCCUUGCACCAUCCUUGGCUCUCUCCUUCCUUAUCUGCAUAGCUGGCGCACGAGAUGGCUGCCAGGUCCAGCCCAGCCUACCCGUCGGUCUUUCCACUUCCCAACUGCAUAUACACCAAAUGCAACUCUCCUUUCACUCCACUGAGUGCGAAGUCACAUCCUUCUCUAACUCACUCUCUUCAGGAACUAGAUCCACCUUAGUGGUGCUGCUGACUGGAACAGUUUUGGGGAUAUAAAUCUGUAUUCUUUAUCAGAAACCAUUUCAUUCUGCUAAGUGGCAGGGUUUUUCAGUCCCUGGGAUUUUCUCCUUGUCUCUAGGAUAUUUUAGUACGGAACUUUUUCAUGCCAAACUGACGAAUCCAGGUGAGAGAGACCAUAUUAUCUAUUUCACGGCUUCCCUCGGCUGUACGGAUCUCCAAUCUAACAAUCACCGUGCCAGGAGAGAAGCACUAUACCUGAAUCACACCCUCUGUUGCACUGCUUUUUCUCGGGACACCUCAAUAAGGCUCUUAAUAACUUCAUUUUCUCAUGGCAAAUUAGCAAAGCUAUUUUCUUGUCUACUUAUUCCUGAAUCAAAUCAGAGAGUUUUCCUCAAUUAAUCUCCCAUUAUUCUCUUGAUUCUGUCAUACACACUCACUACUAAACUUGCCCUCAGAUUAUUGCGUCAUGUUACACAUGUACAGACGAAGAAAGGACACACUUUUACUUUUUUUUUUCUUUUUUUUUCUUUUUUUUUUCUUUUUUUUUUUAAAGAGAAGUAGGGAGAGGGGGCUGAAUGUGCAGACAAGGCAGUAUAAUUCAACCAUCCAAGCCCUACCAGAGCAUGAAGAUUUUAUUUUUUAAUAUUGCAGAGUAAGUUUCCCAACAGUCAGUGUUUGUCCCUGAAGAAGGUUAAACCUUAAACACCUGCUUCAAAAAAAAAAAAAAAACAACAAAAAAAAAAACAAAAUCCACAAAGAAACAACCCAACAACGAAAAAGAACCAAAACAAAACAAAAAACAAAAAAUAAAAUUAACCAACCAAACUCUAAGCCUAAGGGCUUAAAAAUUAGAGGCAUUGCCUUUUUCUCUAUUUUCUAUAUUUAUAUGAAAAUAAUUCAUGCUUCAUGCUAAAUACAUUAUUUACCUUACAAGAACUUUGUCAUCUUUCAAUAAAAAAAAUUGUUUGCUUUUUGUAUUCCCCCCCUUCCAAAAGGAAUCCAUGCAGUGUGGAUCAUUUUGUUUUCCUGCUGGCUACGCUGGUUGAAUCUGGAAAUCUGUUGUCGUUUUUGCACAGAUGAAUCCUGAUUGACAUUAACUGCACCGCUCACUUCUGAGGGCAGUGUAGGAGCUGUUCUGUUGAACUUAAUUUCACUGUUCAUCAAUAUGCUUUCCUGUUGCUUUUUUUUUUAAUUACAGAAUAAUACUAAUGGCAGGUUUUGUAGCUUUUUUUCCCUCAGUUAGAUCAAAUAUUUGAUCCACAGAAAAGGAUUCUGAUUUACUUUCUUCCUUAAUAUCUACUGUAAUUUCUUAGACUUGAUUGCUUUUCACUCAGGCAGUUUAGAAGACAUAGCUUGUUUUCCCUAUACUAUUAUUUUUUGCACGCAGUGCCAAUCUUCGGGCUUAUGGCUUUUUGAACAUUCAGUUAAUUUAAUAUAGAAGACAUAAUUCAAUGAUUACCAAUGCUAUUAACAGUGCCACCCCUCCACCCCCGCCCCCCCCCCCAUUUCUUUUCAUUAUUUCACUGAAACUCAUUGCAUACACAGUUCAAACUUCCCAAAACUUAAAAGUUACCAGUCUUCCUGCUAUUAGCCACAUACAGUACACGAAGCACUAGAAGUGCAUUACAGUAUGCGCAGUUGCCACCAGUGGCUGUUCAAAGACUUCUAUGGCACGGUGAAUCCAAGUGCCACUAGAUGGUCUGUGGUUUGGUGGGAGAAGAACACGCCUUCUCUUCCCCCCAAAUCUCUUUAUUCACAUUCACUCACAUCCCAAUUGUAAGGCCGUUAAAAAAAUUCUUAAGGGCUAGGCCUGAAUGACUACUAAAUUAUGCAAUCUCUUCUAGUGUAAGAGAGAUUUCCAAGUGCCCAAUCUUAUCCCAUCACAACAAUGUUGAUGUCACUGCGUAUUCAACCAUGCAUUUUUUGACAAGCCGGAGAAAGCAAUGGCGAUUUUGGCUUUUUUUUUGUUGUUAACUUUUUGUCUUCGGGUAAUGAAAAGCUUUUGUAAAUUAGCUGAGUGUCAGUAUGAGUUCUAUGGCUUCAAUCUCCUUUAAAAAUAAAAAUCUUAAGGGUCCAAAAAAAAAAAAAAAGAAAAGAAAAGAAAAAAAAAGAAAUAAAACCAAAUAGAAAGAAAAACAAAAAAGGAAAAAUUGCUGAUAUUGCCACAAAUCAUUAGAAUUCACCUGACGUGCUGAAACAAAACUUUGUAAGUUC
rnacentral:lncRNA from 7 species